rnacentral:rRNA from 1 species
UACGUAGGGGGCUAGCGUUGUCCGGAAUCAUUGGGCGUAAAGAGCGUGUAGGCGGCCAGGUAGGUCUGCUGUGAAAACUCGAGGCUCAACCUCGAGAUGUCGGCGGAAACCAUCUGGCUAGAGUCCGGAGGAGGAGAGUGGAAUUCCUGGUGUAGCGGUGAAAUGCGCAGAUAUCAGGAAGAACACCCGUGGCGAAGGCGGCUCUCUGGGACGGUACUGACGCUGAGACGCGAAAGCGUGGGGAGCGAACAGG